UUGACGCCAUAUUUUUUUGCAUAUCAGAGCUUCUAAGAUAUCUGAUUGCGUUGCACGAAUUUGUUUAGCAAGUAAUUAAAGCUACCGGUAGAAAUUCUGGUCUAUUUCAAUAUUCAGACAUUGAAAAAAACAUGUACAAUCACGGUACGACGUCGCUACUCCCAGUAUGUUUUGGGGUUAGAACUCGUGGAUCUGAAACUAAUAUAAGACUUCAGAUGAUUGAAUGGAAUAAGGUUCCCUGCUGCCAUCUUUGUGAUUACUUCCUGGGCGUGAAAGAACAAGCGCUAGUCCUGUGCUAGCCAGGCGGAAGCCAGCAGCAG